CAGGAACCAGGACAAACAACAUCCAUACACACGGAAGAAGUCAAUGAGACGGCAACACAAUGACUACUAGAUCUACGGACAGCCAGGAACCAGGAAAAACAACAUCCGUACACACGGAAGAAGGCGAUGAGACGUAUAAGACUUAUACGCUGCCACAAAUUGACAAAUGACGAUGGAGAAUAAGAUGGAUGUUUAACAAAACUGGAAAAAGACCUGUGCCGUUAUUUUUACCGUACAGAGAUUAUUGCAAAACGAGGUCGAAUAUCUGCAGUACUGUUUCCAAGACAGGUGAAAGAAAAUAUCGACCUCCUGAUACGCAGCAG